CAAGAUCAAAUAUCGCGUAAAUGACUAAUUUAUUCCUCUUUUUUCUUUGAAUUUUGUGUACCAAGAGGUUAUUGUAUAUUAUAAAAACAAUAAAAGAUAAAUAAUAUAUAUUAAUUUUAUUAGGAGAGAAACGAACGGCAUCCCUUUAUUUUAAUUUUUUAUUGCUUCAACUUUGGAACUCUCGAAACAUUAUCUUCUUUCAUCUCCAAGUGCUUGAAACUUUUAAUUGAGUUUGUUAUCAUGUACAUAUAUUAUAAGCUUUUGAUUGUACUUCUUGCGAGUUGAUUGAUUAAAAGGGUUAUUUAGGAAGAAAAAAAUUAGAUGUAGAUGGCAGAGUGAAUUUUUGUUUCUAAAGAGGAUUUGAAAAUAAUUAUACGCGAUCAAGAUGUUUAUUUUUAUUUUAAAAUUUAGUGGGUUAAAAAAAAAGUUACCAAACAAAUUUGAGCCUCAAUUGAUUUAGAUAUUUUAGUUGGCCAAUAAAAAAAAAUGAAUUUAAUGCUAUGGCUCGGUUCGUAAUUCGGUUAAAGUUUUCUGAAUUGAUUGGUAUGACUAACCCAAUCUUUUCAAUUCCUGUAUUCUUCAUAAUAUAAUCAUUUUUCAUUCUUUUUGUUUAAUAGCUAAAUAAUUAUUGAAAAGAUGGGAGAAGGAAAAUGGGUCAUUAUUGUCAUGAUAAAAUAAAGUAUUAAGCUAAAAACACCACUGACCACACAAGUUGCUGAUUUGGUUGUUUCAUACUUUUUAGAUAAGAUAUGAAGGCUGACAAUGAAAUGGCCUAAAUCUUCAAUUGAGUAGAGUGUAGACAUUGCAAGAAUCAAUCUCUUCAUCAUUAAGCAGAACAGUUAUAUAUAUUUGCAAAUCAGGGUUAUAUGAAUCCAAUCUUUUCAAUUUUUUUUUAAAAAGAAAAUAUAACUUCCAUUCAUUCAUUUAACAAAGUGAAUAUAUUUAUGAUUUCUGUUGAAAAUGAGUACAAUCAAAUAAUAAUUUCAAAAUGAUUUAAAAUUCCAUUCAUUCAACAAAGUGAAUACAUAUACGAUUUCUAUUGGAAAUGAGUACAACCAAAUGAUAAUUUCAAAAUAAUUUAAAAUUAUAGUAAUUUUUUUAUCCAUCGUGAUAGCAGUAGCCAUGACAAUUGCAGUUGAACCCCUAAUCACAACUCCCAGGCCAGACAGUAGCGAUGACACGGAGCCACGGACCAUUCUUUUCAGCUACUUGCAAUGAUGUGGACCAUUAAUGAACACAGUGUGUGGCAGAUUAAUAAUUUUCAAUGUUGAUAUCAAUUGCAAUAAUUAACAGCACCAAUACAUAUAAAACACAGUCAGUUACCUUCAAAUUUUCAUAGAAAAUCUUAUAAUCAGAACAUAAAAUAGUCUUAAAUUUGUCACGCUUCAUUUAGUAUUGCUGUCUAACAGUUGUACCUUUUAAAUUGUUACUUCAAAGGACCUAAUAAAUAUUUACAACUAUAGUUUGAAGAUUAAUUGAAGUAAUUUUAAUUCCUAUUUCUUUGAUUGAAAACCUAUGUUACUUUAACUAUUUUAAUCAAAAUUGCUAUGUAGAAUUCAUACUUUUAAACUAUCAUUAAAUUUUUAAAUAGUUACACUAUUUAUUUUGCAAUAGUUGUGGCUUAACAAAUUAAACACAUAAUAUCGAAAGAAGCCUCUAUCUUUUUGUAAGACUCUUCAUAACUUUAGAAAACACAAUCAAGGUAUGUAUUUUCGAUUUUGAUUUUCUAAAAACAAUAUUUUGAACACACCACCACUAUAUUUUUUUAUCUAAGAAAGGAAAAAUUAGAACCUUCAUAAAUAUAAUUUUUAAAUAAAGUUACCAGUAUUGCAAGAGUAGAAAAAUUCAUGCCACCUUUCUUUCACUUGUGGUACUAUUGCUCUGAUAUCAACCCAAAGAACUAAAAAGUUAUUUGCUUUUUUUUUAUCUGCUUUGAUUAAAAUAAAGAAAUGGUACUGUCUAAAUGAUACAAGACAACUUUUGAGUUGAUUGAUCUUUUGGCCAGACAAAUCUUUUGCUCCACUGGCCCUAGUUUGAAUGCUUGUUAGCAAAUAUUUUCCCACAUUUCACAUUUGACAUUACAAAGAAAAUUGAAUGAAGAUUCUUCCCAUUUUGAAAAGGAAUCUGAUUUCUUGAAAAUUUAUCCAAAAUUGAUGAACCCGAGUGGGACAAACAUGGAGGGCCCAGAUUGCAUCAGCAGCUUAGCUGAAAAGAACAGGAUGAUGACCCAUAUCGUGCCAUUUGCUUUUUACAUUUUCUUGCUUUUAUUUUAUGUCCCCAUUUUCAUGACUUAAAGCUUGCCUUUUGUCUCUUAUAUUUGAUGGAAAAAAAGUGCCAUUUCUUUUGACUUUCUCAAAAGAAAACUACUGCAAUUUUCAUCGUACAUGAAGAAUUGCCAUUAACACCCUUUACUUUUCUUGAAACUUGUAUUUCCCCAAAAAAGGAAAAAAAAAAAGAAAAACUUGUGUGAGCUUGCUGAUUUUAGGAGUUCGAAAAGGAAAAUACUUGGUGAAGAGAAGUACGAGAGAAAGAUGAGAGAAAUGAAGAAGAAAAUGGUAGAGAGAGAGAGGACAAAAUUCUCUCGUCUUUCUCUCGUGCUUCUCUACACCUAGCAUUGCUCGUUCGAAAAUGAGCUCAAGAAUCCAACUUAGGGUUUUGAAAAGGAAAAAAGUCUUUUUCAUCCAUACGGUUUAAUGCAAUAGUCCAUUGCAUUUCUAUUUUUCAAACAAUAGUAUAAAAUAUCCUUCUGUUAACUCACCGUUAGUGUAAAGCCGUUAACUAGUAAUUUAUUGAGGGCAAAAUAAGAUUUUUUUAUUAAAGUGAUACAAACUAUAUUAAAAUAAUUUUUUUACACAAUUAAAUAACACUACAAAGUAUGCAAAAUUCAUUAACUUUUCUUAAAUGAAAUCAAUGGUAAUAUAAUUUGAUAUAGUCAUUGAAUAAUUGUCAUAAGGAAUAAACUGUAAUUAACACAAUAUCUUUAAAUCAUUGGAAGAAAAACUCAAAAAUACCACAAAAUUUUAUGUGCUGAAUAUUUUUUUUAUCUUCAACUCAAUUCAAGCCACAUAGUGCAAUUAUAGAGUAUACUUAUAUGAAUAAGAAAAUUGUGAUAUUUUUGGUACUUAGAUCUAGGGUUUAUAGGGCUUUUAUGCCGCCAAAAUGAAGAAGUGAAAAAAGAAUUGCUUGAAAUAUAAGUUUUUCAUCUUUUUCGGUAUUUCCUAUUUAGUGGGAUUAGAUAAAAUCAUUUUUAGUUAUAUGUCAACUUUUAUUUAUUUUUUUAAUUUUCGCUUUGAUGGAAAUUUUAUUUUUACCCUUAAUGAAUUACUAACAAACGACAUUCAAUUAACAGUAAGUUAACGGAAAUAUGUUUUGGACUAUUAUUUAAAAAGUAAGGAUGAAAUAAGAUAUUAUAUGAAACCUUAGGGAUUAGAAAAGUUUUUUCCCUUUUGAAAAUUAUACAACUCAUAAAUAAUUUAAAAAUUAUUCUAUUUGCACAAGCAAUAUAAUAGCAUGACAACAAGUUAGGAAGGGUGUAAAUAUGAAUCGUGCAGUCGCUAAUUCAUUUAGCUUAUAAAACUUUUUGUUCGUAUGAUUGAGAAGAAAAUUCAUUUUCAUUUAUGUUUU
rnacentral:lncRNA from 1 species